ACGAACGCUGGCGGCGUGCCUAAUACAUGCAAGUCGAGCGGAAUGAUGAAGAAGCUUGCUUCUUCUGAUUUUAGCGGCGGACGGGUGAGUAACACGUGGGCAACCUACCUUGUAGAUUGGGAUAACUCCGGGAAACCGGGGCUAAUACCGAAUAAUCCAUUUUGCUUCAUGGCGAGAUGUUGAAAGACGGUUUCGGCUGUCACUACAAGAUGGGCCCGCGGCGCAUUAGCCAGUUGGUAGGGUAAUGGCCUACCAAGGCGACGAUGCGUAGCCGACCUGAGAGGGUGAUCGGCCACACUGGGACUGAGACACGGCCCAGACUCCUACGGGAGGCAGCAGUAGGGAAUCUUCCACAAUGGACGAAAGUCUGAUGGAGCAACGCCGCGUGAGUGAAGAAGGUUUUCGGAUCGUAAAACUCUGUUGUAAGGGAAGAACACGUACGAGAGUAACUGCUCGUACCUUGACGGUACCUUAUUAGAAAGCCACGGCUAACUACGUG
rnacentral:rRNA from 1 species